rnacentral:rRNA from 1 species
UACGUAGGGGGCUAGCGUUGUCCGGAACCAUUGGGCGUAAAGAGCGUGUAGGCGGCCCGGUAAGUCCGCUGUGAAAGUCGGGGGCUCAACCCUCGAAUGCCGGUGGAUACUGUCGGGCUAGAGUGCGGAAGAGGCGAGUGGAAUUCCUGGUGUAGCGGUGAAAUGCGCAGAUAUCAGGAGGAACACCGAUUGCGAAGGCAGCUCGCUGGGACGUAACUGACGCUGAGACGCGAAAGCGUGGGGAACAAACAGG